rnacentral:rRNA from 2 species
UACGGAGGGUGCGAGCGUUGUCCGGAUUUAUUGGGUUUAAAGGGUGCGUAGGCGGUUUGAUAAGUCUGGGGUGAAAGCCCGUUGCUCAACAACGGAACUGCCCUGGAUACUGUCAGACUUGAGGACAGACGAGGUUGGCGGAAUAGAGGGUGUAGCGGUGAAAUGCAUAGAUACCCUCUAGAACCCCGAUUGCGAAGGCAGCUGACUAGACUGUAUCUGACGCUGAGGCACGAAAGCGUGGGGAGCGAACAGG